GACAGCUCAGUUGGUGGAGCAUGAGACUCUUAACAUCAGGGUUGUGGGUUCAAGCCCCAUGUUGGGCG